rnacentral:tRNA from 1 species
GUUGCUAUAGCUCAGUGGUACAGUAUGUGCUUAGUGUGCACGAGGUCCUGGGUUCAAUCCCCCGUGCCUCCA